UACAGAGGUGGCAAGCGUUGUUCGGAAUUACUGGGCGUAAAGGGCGCGUAGGCGGCCAUCUAAGUCAGACGUGAAAUCCCCCGGCUUAACCUGGGAACUGCGUCUGAUACUGGACGGCUUGAGUGCGGGAGAGGGAUGUGGAAUUCCAGGUGUAGCGGUGAAAUGCGUAGAUAUCUGGAGGAACACCGGUGGCGAAGGCGGCAUCCUGGACCGACACUGACGCUGAGGCGCGAAAGCUAGGGUAGCAAACGGG
rnacentral:rRNA from 2 species